rnacentral:rRNA from 1 species
UACGAAGGGGGCUAGCGUUGUUCGGAAUCACUGGGCGUAAAGCGCGCGUAGGCGGGUCGUUAAGUCAGGGGUGAAAUCCCAAGGCUCAACCUUGGAACUGCCUUUGAUACUGGCGACCUGGAGUCCGGGAGAGGUGAGUGGAACUCCUAGUGUAGAGGUGAAAUUCGUAGAUAUUAGGAAGAACACCAGUGGCGAAGGCGGCUCACUGGCCCGGUACUGACGCUGAUGCGCGAAAGCGUGGGGAGCAAACAGG